CCUGAAUACCCAAAACGACAUCAACCACAACCGAACGUCACAGCAGAUGGCUUUGUCGACGGCAGUUUUGUUUCCGGCAACCCAUCAUUACAACCGAACGCUGUUCACACCCUCAGAUUGAUUAGUCCUUUCCGCAACAAGGUUUAUACAUCUGACCCAGCCAAUGUUUAAGACCGAUGACAAAAGUUAUGUUAAGUUGAAGAAAGAAGACAUUCUAUCAGGGAUUCGGCAAAUCAACAAGACACAUCCAACAUACUAAGAGAGACCUAAUCCGAAUUCACUUAUUUCGAGCCUGGAUUUUGUCUUUGAUGACAACCUGUGCGGGGUUGUUACUCUUACUUUGGGCUUGUGUUGGCCUUCAACUGUCAUGUUGCGACAGGUCAUGAACUAC